rnacentral:rRNA from 1 species
UACGGGAGGCAGCAGUGGGGAAUAUUGGGCAAUGGGAGAAAUCCUGACCCAGCGACGCCGCGUGAACGAAGACGGCCUUAGGGUUGUAAAGUUCUUUUAUGUGGGAAGAAGGAAGUGACGGUACCACAUGAAUAAGCCCCGGCUAACUACGUGCCAGCAGCCGCGGUAUU